CUCUCUCUCUCUCUCUCUCUCUCUCUCUCUCUCUCCUGCUACCUCGUUCUUUUCUUUUCUUCCUUUUCAUUUUUGCAGUGACUUUUCCUCUUUUUUUUGAACCAUCAAUUAUAAAUCUGAAACUUUAGAUUAUUCUUUAUCAAUUUUCAAAAAUUCUCUUCAUUUUCCAUACCAUAACAACAAUGAACUCAUCGGCAAUAUUUAGCUCUUCCCCUAUUACUGAUGCCUUCGUUUUCUAAUCAAAGUAUCAUGUAAGAAAUCAAAGAAUCAAUCUUCUCUGUUAUUUAUGCACUCGUUUGGAGUUCACCGCGUCUGUCACCGCUGAAACUACUUCAAUGUUUAGGCGGUGUUCCUUCUCCUUAAGAUGAGUUAAGACACAAUCCUCCUGAAGUUCUUUCCCGCGAGAAACAUAAUCGGUGAAAUUUUCCGAGUAGUAACCAAAGGAGAGCCGAUUGAGCGAGUUUUUAAAGUUAGUUUUCGGUCUGGAUAACAACAAUGUUAGCCAACAUUUUCUAAGUUACCAUAUAUUAAUUAUGUUUUAGGAGAAUCUCAAUUUUAUAUUAUUGUUUGGAUAUAUGCUUUGUUAUCAGUUACAAACAAAUUACUUUUAACUGAUAAAUAUUUAUAAAAAGGAGUAAAAAUAGUUAUUCUUAAUUGAUGCAUUAUUUUUUAGCUGAUAAAUUAUUUGUUAGUUGAUACACUUGUUUGAUAUGUUAUUUGUUAGUUGAAUAUUUAUUCUUUAGAAUCAAAUUAUGUAUCAUGUAACAAAAAAUAUACUAGUUAACAAUUUAUAUACUGACUAACAUACCUUGUAGUAGUUGAUACAUGAUUUAGCUUCUAAAAAAUAGAUUACGCAAUAGUGAUUUUUUAAUAGCUGUUGUUCCAAGAAGCAUGACAGAAUUUGAGAUUAUGAUUUCACUGUAAUAUUUGCAUUCAUCCUCAACGAAAUGAUGUGUAGGUUGUACAGACGAGACGAGGAGGACGUUGUCGGAGAAUAAAAAUGUUGGUUAUAUGGAGUAUACGAGCAGUGGAUUUGAGAAGAUGAUGUUAUUAAUUAAAAUUAUAUAUAUAUUGAUAAUCAUAUGAAAGCUAUAUGAAAAUAAAAAAAAGAUUGUAAGAAAAAGAGAUGAUGUAUGAGAUGAAAAGAAGAAAGAGAUUCGGUGGUGUGAGAUGAAGAAAGAGAAAUGGUGUAGAUGAGAUAUGGGCUGUAAUAACCCUCAAGAGCAGAUAAAAUUUUGGUCGAGAAAAAUCCCGCUCGACCAGUUUGGAGUUGGUUCGACCAGAAUUAAAAAUAAAAAUCGAUCCGGUGAAGUAUUCUUGAUGGGACUGUCUCGAGGCCAAAAUACGUACUCUUAAUAGUUCUGACCAAGUGUUAAUUAUUAUGGUCGAGUUUUAUCUAAGCUGGACGAGAACCGAUGGAUAGGAAACAUUUUUUGAAAACUGGUCUUGAAUACUUUCAGCUGCUUGCGAGUCAUGUGCAUGUCAUGUGCUGCCUGGCUGCUUGCUUCCUUCCUGACCUGAACAUGGGGCUUGCACCUUCAUGCUUCCUUGCUACAUUAAAUUCAUGUGAGUUGUACACCUGCUUGAAGUUUCUUCAUGGAAAGGAAAUGACAUUACUUAAUAGGAAGGAAAGUGUGAUUCAGCUCACCACAUGUCUCAUACUGAUCUGAAACUUUUGUCCUUUCUUGCUGACUCUUCCUUCUCCUGCUGUUUCCCCUGUCAUUUAUUACCUUGUCCUCUUCCUGGUCAAGCUCAUUCAUCUCAGAAACAAGAAAGAAAAAUUCAGAGAGAAAUAGAGAAAGAAAGAGAGAAAAAUCUGUGAGGAAAAUACAAAUCAGAAAAAAAAAUCAGAGAAGAGAAGUGAGCUUGCACGAUCCUUUCUCACCCUCUUAUGACUUUUAUCAUUGUGUUCUGGUGUGGUUUAGAGCUGAAGGUUUGGCGUUCAAGAGUUUAGAAUCACCCAAGUUCUUCAGCCAUUGAUUUUAUCGGUUAGACGUGGGUUCAGCUUGAAGCUUAUAGCAACAAUGUUCAUUUAAACCUUGAGAAAACCGUUGGUCGAAGAAAUUGAAAUUACCAGCCGGGUCAUGCCUUGUCCUCAUUCUGUUUUGGGAGUUAUCAGCAAGUGAUGAACGUUUAGCUUGAGCUCGAGUCUAGUUUUCCAUAGGCAAUCUCAUGGAUUCAAAGGUGAGUCUAGAUAGAUGGUUGAUCAAUACUGAUUGUAGAUGAUUGAUAGGCUUUAUCUCUUGAUCAAUAUUGUAUCAGUGAGGUGUUUACUUAGUGUAAACACUUAAUAAAUAUUUAUGAAUGAUCAUAGAGGUUUAUUCCAAACCUAAGUACUUGUUCUCAAGUACUAAUACAUAUGUAUAGUAUUAAAUAUAUGAGUAUAAAUCAUGUGAAGUCUUAUUGUAUACUCACUCUCCCGAAAGUUCCCGCAUUACCGUGAAGUGUUCCUGCGAUACGGAACAAGAUCAGGAAGACACGAUGAUUGUGUCGUACCCUGGAGGCCGUGUAACUGCAUGCAGCGUUAGAUGUUCGAUCUUGGAAUAUCUAAUGGAGAUGAUGGUUAUAUUUAUUUCUCCGCUAGGCUCGGUUAGCCUUGGUGGUUUUCCGGGCUUAGUAUAUAUAUAUUAUAAGUAUGAGUGAAUGGCGGGUGUCGUGGAGGUGAUGUUUAAGAUAAGAUUCACAUCGAUGGAAUCAUAUCCCUU